CAGUUUAGUCAGGUUCUGCUCCAAAUACAUGCUGUCCACACCAAUUCUUUUCCAUGAUGUUUUACUAAAUUCAGUUAGCAUCGUCUCUAAAUUAGUGAACAUUCACUGUAUAUACUUAUUAAGAAUUAAAAGAAAAUAAUCUCUAUGCUCCAGCUCACCAUGACUAAGUAUUAAAAGUGGUGGUGUUUUCUAAAAUCUAGAUUUCUUAAAUCAGCUCUCCAUGCCAGCAUUUUCCAUCUGGACCUUGCUCUGCCCUUUCUAACCGGCAGUGUUGUUUAACACACAGUGACCACGUGGCCUCAUCAUUUUUAAUGGCGAUUUGACAGAUUUCUUUCUAGUUGACUUUCAACGGCCACAUCACUCAUCUUGCUGUUCGGAGGCCGUCAGAAAGAAGUAAAGACUGGAAGAUAACAUGACUGCUGGGUAGUGACAGGGCCUGUCUCCUGACCGCGGCUCAGCGUACCUUCCACAGGAAAAACCUACACGACCGUGUGCUGCCCAUGCCCAGGUGAGAAAACUGAGGUGCAGAAAAGUGAAGGAACUUUCCCCAGGUCAUGCAGCGUGCCGGACUCUCUUCAGCGGGGCGGGUUGGCUGCACGCACGAAACAAAUGCCCCUCCAUCAAAGACCAUCUUGGGCCAUC